UUUCAUUAUUUUUUUUUUCCGAGAGAGGUGUGACUUCUCCACCAGAACGGCGCAGCCCGCUGCGCCGCGACACCUCGCCUUCUCCCAAGCCCAUGCGCCCCCGCGGUCACCCGGCCGCUUACACGUGGGGAGGGUGCAACAAAAGGCCAGGCGGAAGGGAGCGCUGGCGUGGGUCAGGUAGACCGCACCUGGCGUCGCACGGGAUGGGGCGUGCCUCACAGCACCCUAACCUCAUCCACCCACUCAUCACCCCCUUGGCGGAAGCGCGCACAGAUGUCCCAUGACACGGGAGGUUCGGAGGGCUCAGGCAGUUGGGGAGGGAUUUCCCUAGUUCGGUGCUUCCCCUUUUCCUCCUUUUUCCUGUCUGCGGCCUCCUCUGGUCUUCUCUCCCUCCCUUCCUCUCUCUCUCUCUCUCUCUCUCUCUCUCUCACACACACACACACACACACACACACACACACACACACACACACACUACAGUCCUCGGGGGAGGGGGAGAGUCUAAUUUCCGUGUUCCUUCUUUCUUUGCAGAGCCCUCACGCGAGGAAGGAUGUAGUGCGUGGAUUGGGGGGGGGGGUAGGGGAAGGAAAGGACAGUGACCCAGCCCUUCGGAGUCCCCCAAAUCAGAGUGAGGCAUCGCCUGUUUUCGCUUCGUAGACAAUAAGGCCAAGCAGCACGCAACAGCAACCUGUCGAGCCUGGCUUGAUAACGGAUCCUUUGUCCAAGUCUUCAUGCAUCCAAGAUCAAGAGGGUACUUAGAGAACAAGUCAACUGCUUAGCUAGUAUUCUUGAUUUGGACUUGUAGAUUUUACUUGGUUUUACUCAGCCCAUUUUCCAUCAAAACCCACUAAAAGCCAAGACUUUAAAAAUUACUUCUUACUUCCAAUUCAGAAUUCAGUUCUAGAAAUUUGUGAAGAUGUGGAGAAGAAACCAGCACUCUUUUAUUCUAGAAGCAUCUACUUAUAAAUUAAUUAUAAAAUUGAAUAUAUGGUAAAACCUCAUACCACCCAAAAG